rnacentral:rRNA from 1 species
UGGGGAAUUUUGGACAAUGGGCGCAAGCCUGAUCCAGCCAUGCCGCGUGCAGGAUGAAGGCCUUCGGGUUGUAAACUGCUUUUGUACGGAACGAAAAGACUCUGGCUAAUACCUGGAGCCCAUGACAGUACCGUAAGAAUAAGCACCGGCUAACUACGUGCCAGCAGCCGCGGUAAUACGCAGGGUGCGAGCGUUAAUCGGAAUUACUGGGCGUAAAGCGUGCGCAGGCGGCUAUGUAAGACAGAUGUGAAAUCCCCGGGCUCAACCUGGGAACGGCAUUGGUGACUGCAUAGCUAGAGUACGGCAGAGGAGGAUGGAAUUCCGCGGGUAGCAGUGAAAUGCGUAGAUAUGCGGAGGAACACCGAUGGCGAGGGCAAUCCCCUGGGCCUGUACUGACGCUCAUGCACGAAAGCGUGGGGAGCAAAC